rnacentral:tmRNA from 1 species
GGGGGUGUAUUUGGCUUCGACAGAUUUGUCAGGGGAAAGUUAUAAGCAUGUUGUGUGGCUGGACACAUAAAACACGGCAACAAAUUAAACGCAAACAAUAAUUAUGCGUAUGCUGCUUGUUAAUUCUAAGAAUUAAAACAGCGUUGUCCUUUUCAUAAUUCUUGCGGAUGAAAAUGGGCAUAAAUUAGCAAGAAAAUAAACAAGUUUUGCUCCUAAAUUUGUUUAUUAACUAAAAAGAGCAAAUUAAAAACGAUUUUUGUUUGUUUAUUGUUUUUAAUUAUCUAAAACAAACUAAACAUGUAGAAGAAUUUUCUGCCACAAGUUUGGACGCGAGUUCGACUCUCGCCACCUCCACCA